rnacentral:rRNA from 1 species
UACGGAGGGUGCAAGCGUUAUCCGGAUUUACUGGGUUUAAAGGGUUCGUAGGUGGCUUGCUAAGUCAGACGUGAAAUCCCUCAGCUUAACUGGGGAACUGCGUCUGAUACUGGCGAGCUUGAGUGCAGGAGAGGAACGCGGAAUUCCAGGUGUAGCGGUGAAAUGCGUAGAUAUCUGGAGGAACACCGGUGGCGAAGGCGGCGUUCUGGACUGCAACUGACACUGAUGAACGAAAGCCAGGGGAGCAAACGGG